GGCUAGAUAGCUCAGUUGGUAGAGCGCCGCCGGCACAUUAAUCCGGAGGUCGUUGGUUCGAAUCCCACUCUAGUCA